rnacentral:tRNA from 4 species
UGGGGAUUCGUCUAAUGGUAGGACAGCGGACUCUGAAUCCGUAAGUAUAGGUUCGAAUCCUAUAUCCCCAGCCA